AAAUUGAAGAGUUUGAUCAUGGCUCAGAUUGAACGCUGGCGGCAGGCCUAACACAUGCAAGUCGAACGGUAACAGGAAGCAGCUUGCUGCUUCGCUGACGAGUGGCGGACGGGUGAGUAAUGUCUGGGAAACUGCCUGAUGGAGGGGGAUAACUACUGGAAACGGUAGCUAAUACCGCAUAAUGUCGC
rnacentral:rRNA from 1 species